rnacentral:lncRNA from 10 species
GAUCCCCUUCCACAGUGUGGAAGGUUUGUUCUUUUGCUCUUUGCAAUAAAUCUUGCUACUGCUCACUGUUUGGGUCCAUGCUGCUUUUAUGAGCUGUAACACUCACUGCGAAGGUCUGCAGCUUCACUCCUCAGCCAGCGAGACCACGAACCCACCAGAAGGAAGAAACUCCAAACACAUCUGAACAUCAGAAGGGACAGACUCCAGAUGCGCCGCCUUAAGAGCUGUAACACUCACCGCGAGGCUCCGCGGCUUCAUUCUUGAAGUCAGUGAGACCAAGAACCCACCAAUUCCGGACACAAUGUGGGCAUGUUAAUAAAUUUUGUGUGUCUCUUCUCCUAUUAAUCUGCCUUUUGUCAGUUCAUUUUCAGUGAACCUUCAGAGAAUGAUGGGCAGGUUUUCCCUUGGCCCCCACAGUUUUGGCACUGUGAGCAGGAUACCAAAACCACUCUGUUCUUCUGGAAGCCACAGCCCAGGGAACCUAGGAUCUGAGAAGUUCACAAAAGGACACACUUCCUGCCACUGCUGAGAACUGACUGGUGAGUGGAUGAGGCAAACAUCUUCCCAGGUCAUGAGGGGAAAGGCUGCUGACUUAGCUUGUGUUGAAGUCUGAAUGGAAGCCAUUUAUGGAUAUGCAAAGAGGAAUGGAUAAUUGAUGAAGCAUGGUAACAAAGAUUAUUUUCAUCUGAGUACAAAGAUAAAGAUGGAGUUGUACUCUGUUGCCCAGGCUGGAGUGCAGUGGCGUGAUCUCAGCUCACUGCAACCUCCGCCUCCCAGGUUCAAGCAAUUCUUCUGCCUCAGCUUCCCAAGUAGCUGGGACUACACCGGGCUAAUUUUUGUAGUUUUUUAGUAGAGAUGGGGUUUCACUAUGUUGGCCAGGCUAGUCUCAAACAGCUGACCUCGAGUGAUCCACACUCCUCAGCCUCCCACAGUGCUGAUAUUACAGGCUUGAGCCACCGUACCUGGCCAAAAGACACUUUUAAGAGAGAGAAAAGACUAUCCACAAAUAGGAAGGAUAUAUUCGCAAUGUAUAUAUCUAAUAAAUUCUUGUAUCCAAAACGUGAAUUAUUCUCAAAACACAAUAAUAAGAAAAUCAGCAACACGAUAAAAAUGGGCUAAGUAUUUGAACAAACACUUUCUCAGAAAGAUAUGCAGAUAGCAAAUAAGCACAUGACAAUGCCAAAAUGCAGUAGUCAAGCACAUACCUAUUAGAAUGUCUAAAAGUUGAGAAAACAUAAUUUUUCUAUACUGCUGUUGGGAAUUUAAAAUACUACAAUCACUUUGUAUAACAGUUUCACAGUUAUUGAAAAAAUUAAACAUACACCUAUCAUCAAAUCUAGCAAUUCUACUCCAAUAUUUGCCCAAAAGUAAUGAAAGCAUACAUACUUACAAAAUUCUGUACAUAAAUGUUCUUUGCAACUUUAUUUGUAAUACCCAUAAACUGAAAAUAAUUUAAAUGUCCAUAUGCUGAUGAAUGAAUAAAGAAAUGUGAUUCAUCCUUCCUAUGGAAUACUACUCAGCAAUAAGGUGCAGUAAGACAUAUUAAUACAGACAGUAUUGAUCCAUCUCAAAAUCAUUAUGCCAAGUAUGAGAACUCAAACACAAAAGACAUGUACUAUAAAAUUUCAAUUAUGUGCAAUUCUGUAAAAGGCAAAACUGUAGAGACAGAAAGCAGAUCAGCAGUUGCCUAGUGAAUGGGCAUAGAAUGGAGAAGGAGCUGGUGGCAGGAGUGUGGAGGGGAGAAUUAUACAGGCUUAAGGAAAUUUGGGGGGAUGAUGAUUAUGUUCAUUUUCUUGAUUGUGGGGAUGACUUCAUGGGUGUAUAGAUGUGUUGAAACAUCUAAUUGUACACUUUCAAAAUGUGUAGUUUGCCAAAUGUUAACAUCUUAAUAAAGCUGAGAAAAUAAAAUAACAAGAAAAAUGACACAGGAACUCACAAAAACCAGCUUCCAGUGGCCAGAUAUCGAACAAUCUGAUCAUUGGAAAGAAUA